AUUGAACGCUGGCGGCAGGCUUAACACAUGCAAGUCGAACGAGUGGCGGACGGGUGAGUAAUGCUUGGGAAUCUAGCUUAUGGAGGGGGAUAACUACGGGAAACUGUAGCUAAUACCGCGUACCAUAGGAUGAGCCCAAGUGGGAUUAGGUAGUUGGUGAGGUAAAGGCUCACCAAGCCGACGAGCUCUAGCUGGUCUGAGAGGAUGACCAGCGACAGUGGGACUGAUACACGGCCCAGUCUCCUACCGUAGCAAGCAGUGGUGAUGCUUGCGAAUUUGGGGCAACGUGACGCAGCCAUGCCGUUUGAAUGAAGCAGGCCGUCGGGUUUUAAAUUUCUUUCGGUAGUUAGGCGUUAACUUCAGAAGAUGUACCGGCUAACUCCUUGCCAGCAGCCGCGGUAAUUC
rnacentral:rRNA from 1 species